CUCCACAACCUGCGGGCUACGAGAUGUUCCGGCUGAUAUAAUGAGGCUGUACAUCAUCCACUGGACAGAGAGGAGCGAGGGACUGUUCAGCCUGGAGGCCUACACUGUGGACCAGAAGCGGAGGGUGCACCAGUGUCCUCCGUGACAACAUCGACAAGCAGCUGGGCCUCAAACACAUAUCCGAACGCGACGAGGAGCCUAUAGAUGACGUCCAGUGUGACCUGGGGGUCCUCAGUCUGGGCCAGCAGGACUCCCUGUACAGCCACUCUCCAGAGAGACCCCCCUACAGCUGCUCCCCCGAGCCCUACGGGGUAGUCCCGGGCCUGGGGCAGGA